rfam:Enterobacter sp. 638, complete genome.
AAUUUCUUGUCGGAGUGCCCAGUGCGUAAGCCGGGCUGAGACCGUUAAUUCGGGAUCCGCGGAACCUGAUCAGGCUAAUACCUGCGAAGGGAACAAGAGUCAAUCUGCU